rnacentral:pre_miRNA from 1 species
AAUGUAUGACGUCGUUGACUUUUUAUCCAACGUUUGACCAUUUGUCUUAUUUAAAAAAUUUAUGUAAUCAUUAUUUAUUUUAUUGUUAAUUGAUUCGUCAUCAAAUGUUCUUUAAGCAUGACAUAAAUAUUUUCAUAUUUGCACACAAAAUUUAAAUAAAACGAAUGGUCAAAUGUUAGUAAAAAAAAAUCAACGGCGUCAUACAUU